GACGAACGCUGGCGGCGUGCUUAACACAUGCAAGUCGAACGGAAAGGCCCUGCUUUUGUGGGGUGCUCGAGUGGCGAACGGGUGAGUAACACGUGAGUAACCUGCCCUUGACUUUGGGAUAACUUCAGGAAACUGGGGCUAAUACCGGAUAGGAGCUCCUGCUGCAUGGUGGGGGUUGGAAAGUUUCGGCGGUUGGGGAUGGACUCGCGGCUUAUCAGCUUGUUGGUGGGGUAGUGGCUUACCAAGGCUUUGACGGGUAGCCGGCCUGAGAGGGUGACCGGCCACAUUGGGACUGAGAUACGGCCCAGACUCCUACGGGAGGCAGCAGUGGGGAAUAUUGCACAAUGGGCGGAAGCCUGAUGCAGCAACGCCGCGUGCGGGAUGACGGCCUUCGGUUGGUAAACCGCUUUCGCCGGUGACGAAGCGUGAGUGACGGUAAUGGGUAAAGAAGCACCGGCUAACUACGUG
rnacentral:rRNA from 1 species